CAAGUAAAUCGCCUUAUCGCUAUUCUAUUAAGAAUGGAGGAAAGUCCGAACACCAUAGUGCAACAUAGUGGUUAAUGGCCACCAGUCGUGAGAUUAGGAAAAGUGCAACAGAAAGUAUGUACAGGUAAUGCUGUAGUGAAACCGGGUAAACUCUAUGUGGUGCAAUGCCAUGUAUACCAAUGUUUGAGGGCGGCACGUCCGAUGCUGGAGGGUAGGCAGCUAAAGUGUAUUAGUAAUAAUACAUUCAGAUAAAUGAUAAGGGCUUUUUCUUUUAGAAAAAGUACAGGAUUCGGCUUAUAGAUUUACUUAUAUA
rnacentral:RNase_P_RNA from 1 species